GUCCAGACUCCUACGGGAGGCAGCAGUGGGGAAUAUUGCACAAUGGGGGAAACCCUGAUGCAGCGACGCCGCGUGAGUGAAGAAGUAUUUCGGUAUGUAAAGCUCUAUCAGCAGGGAAGAAAAUGACGGUACCUGACUAAGAAGCCCCGGCUAACUACGUGCCAGCAGCCGCGGUAAUACGUAGGGGGCAAGCGUUAUCCGGAUUUACUGGGUGUAAAGGGAGCGUAGACGGCAUGGCAAGUCAGAUGUGAAAGCCCGGGGCUCAACCCCGGGACUGCAUUUGAAACUGUCAGGCUGGAGUGCAGGAGAGGUAAGUGGAAUUCCCAGUGUAGCGGUGAAAUGCGUAGAUAUUAGGAGGAACACCAGUGGCGAAGGCGGCUUACUGGACUGUAACUGACGUUGAGGCUCGAAAGCGUGGGGAGCAAACAGGAUUAGAUACCCGGGUA
rnacentral:rRNA from 1 species